rnacentral:rRNA from 1 species
AACGAACGCUGGCGGCAGGCUUAACACAUGCAAGUCGAACGCCCCGCAAGGGGAGUGGCAGACGGGUGAGUAACGCGUGGGAAUCUACCUAGUUCUACGGAACAACAGUUGGAAACGACUGCUAAUACCGUAUACGCCCUACGGGGGAAAGAUUUAUCGGAAUUAGAUGAGCCCGCGUAAGAUUAGCUAGUUGGUGGGGUAAUGGCCUACCAAGGCGACGAUCUUUAGCCGGUCUGAGAGGAUGAUCAGCCACACUGGGACUGAGACACGGCCCAGACUCCUACGGGAGGCAGCAGUGUGGAAUAUUGGACAAUGGGCGCAAGCCUGAUCCAGCCAUGCCGCGUGAGUGAUGAAGGCCUUAGGGUUGUAAAGCUCUUUCACCGAUGAAGAUAAUGACGGUAGUCGGAGAAGAAGCCCCGGCUAACUUCGUGCCAGCCGCCGCCGUAA